rnacentral:rRNA from 1 species
CGUACACUUGCGGGAGGCAGCAGUGGGGAAUUUUGGACAAUGGGCGAAAGCCUGAUCCAGCAAUGCCGCGUGAGUGAAGAAGGCCUUCGGGUUGUAAAGCUCUUUUGUCAGGGAAGAAACGGUGAAAGCUAAUAUCUUUUGCUAAUGACGGUACCUGAAGAAUAAGCACCGGCUAACUACGUGCCAGCAGCCGCGGUAAUACGUAGGGUGCAAGCGUUAAUCGGAAUUACUGGGCGUAAAGCGUGCGCAGGCGGUUUUGUAAGUCUGAUGUGAAAUCCCCGGGCUCAACCUGGGAAUUGCAUUGGAGACUGCAAGGCUAGAAUCUGGCAGAGGGGGGUAGAAUUCCACGUGUAGCAGUGAAAUGCGUAGAUAUGUGGAGGAACACCGAUGGCGAAGGCAGCCCCCUGGGUCAAGAUUGACGCUCAUGCACGAAAGCGUGGGGAGCAAACAGGAUUAGAUACCCCGGUAGUCCC